rnacentral:rRNA from 1 species
AAUGAACGCUGGCGGCGCGCCUAAUACAUGCAAGUCGAGCGAGAAGACGUAGCAAUACGUUUGUAAAGCGGCGAACGGGUGAGGAAUACAUGGGUAACCUACCCUCGAGUGGGGAAUAACUAGCCGAAAGGUUAGCUAAUACCGCGUACGCUUCUUGGACUUCGGUUCAGGGAGGAAAGCGAUGCCGAGGGUAUCGCGCUCUUGGAUGGGCUCAUGUCCUAUCAGCUUGUUGGGAGGUAACGGCUCACCAAGGCUUCGACGGGUAGCUGGUCUGAGAGGACGACCAGUCACACUGGAACUGAGACACGGUCCAGACACCUACGGGUGGCAGCAGUCGAGUAAUUUUUCUCAAGUCGGGGGAAACCCUGAAGGAGCGACGCCGCGUGGAGGAU